UACAGAGGGUGCGAGCUUUAAUCGGAAUUACUGGGCGUAAAGCGUGCGUAGACGGUCAUGUAAGUCGGAUGUGAAAGCCCCGGGCUCAACCUGGGAAUUGCACUCGAGACUGCAUGGCUUGGGUGCGGAAGAGGGAAGCGGAAUUUCCGGUGUAGCGGUGAAAUGCGUAGAUAUCGGAAGGAACACCAGUGGCGAAAGCGGCUUCCUGGUCCGACACCGACGUUCAGGCACGAAAGCGUGGGGAGCAAACAGG
rnacentral:rRNA from 1 species